GGCUUUGAUCCUGAGGACCCACCAUUCGAGCGGUUUUCUGGAUCCUUACAUCAGCAGCCUCCCCCUCCUAAUCCUCACCGAGGUUCGCACAUUUACCAACGGGUGAUCAACGCAGACAGUCGGCCAUUGUCCAAUGUGUGGGCCUAUAAUCAGCCGGAUGAACAGAUGUGAAGUGAACCUCCUGUUGUGGUGUUCCCUCGGACAAGAUAAUCCCUCUGAGUACAGAGUUACUGCCUGCACGUUGACUGACUCGUGGAGGAGAUGACAUUACUGUUGUCAUCAACUGAUGGACUUUAAAAAAAUAUCUCAUAUCUUGGUCCAAUAUAAUAUGUGGAACAGAUUACCUAUGGAACUAAGAUAAACAAGAACACUUGAUAGCUUCUAAAGACAUCUUAAUCAUUUACUGUUCCUACAGGUCUAUCCUUCUUAAGCUUUUAGCGUUAUUUUUAUUAUAGUUGUUCUUUGCCAACAUCUGAAAAUAGUCCGUGUGUGUGUGUGUGUGUGU